CCUACGGGGGGCAGCAGUGGGGAAUAUUGGGCAAUGGGCGAAAGCCUGACCCAGCAACGCCGCGUGAAGGAAGAAGGCCCUCGGGUUGUAAACUUCUUUUAUCAGGGACGAAACAAAUGACGGUACCUGAUGAAUAAGCCACGGCUAACUACGUGCCAGCAGCCGCGGUAAUACGUAGGUGGCAAGCGUUAUCCGGAUUUACUGGGUGUAAAGGGCGUGUAGGCGGGACUGCAAGUCAGAUGUGAAAACUAUGGGCUCAACCCAUAGCUUGCAUUUGAAACUGUGGUUCUUGAGUGAUGGAGAGGCAGGCGGAAUUCCGUGUGUAGCGGUGAAAUGCGUAGAUAUAUGGAGGAACACCAGUGGCGAAGGCGGCCUGCUGGACAUUAACUGACGCUGAGGCGCGAAAGCGUGGGGAGCAAACAGGAUUAGAUACCCCAGUAGUC
rnacentral:rRNA from 1 species